rnacentral:rRNA from 1 species
CAGCCGCCGCGGGAAUACGGAGGGUGCAAGCGUUAAUCGGAAUUACUGGGCGUAAAGCGCACGCAGGCGGUCUGACAAGUCAGAUGUGAAAUCCCCGGGCUUAACCUGGGAACUGCAUUUGAAACUGUCAGGCUGGAGUCUUGUAGAGGGGGGUGGAAUUCCAGGUGUAGCGGUGAAAUGCGUAGAGAUCUGGAGGAAUACCGGUGGCGAAGGCGGCCCCCUGGACAAAGACUGACGCUCAGGUGCGAAAGCGUGGGGAGCAAACAGGAUUAGAUACCCCCGUAGUCCUGUCUCUUAUACA